rnacentral:lncRNA from 1 species
CUGCAUAUAUAUAGACAUCUCCUAGGGUUUUACUUCACCCCAAUAGAGCAAGGCAUUUUUUCUCCUAUUCGGCCGUCAUAGCAAUUUGCGCUUUGUGCUCGCUCGUCUGCUCCUCUCAAGGUUUUAGCCUUCUCCGUUUUCCCUAAAACCCUUUUAGGACUCUUCGUAUUUUUUCUAAUGCACAAGCUGUUUCCUUGAAUUUUCUGUUUCUAUUUUGUGGUUUAACAUGUUCAACGUGUUAGUAGUUUCACCAAUCUCUGUUAGUUCUGUUCAAAUGCGUAGUGUGACUCAAUCUGUUCUUCAAAUUUUGUCUCUUUUCCAUGUUGAUUGCAGAAAACUCUUAAUAGGAUUUCUGUUUAAUCUUUUGUCCAUGCUCAGUUUUUUUAGUUUUAACUAUCUGUUCGUAUCAUUGAAGUGUGAAAUCUAUUCGUUUUGUGUGGCUAUCGUUGGUUAUAUAAAUUAAUAUGAUGGUGGGGCUAUGUCAAGUCUGAAAUUAAUUUCUCCAAAUUAAUGUUUUAGCACAACAUUUUGGCCCUUUCUGCUAAUUGUUUCACUAUAAUAUUUGAUCCAUUCAAAGGUUUUAUCCUUGAUAUACCUAUUGUUUUUGUCGUUUAAGUUGCUGAUAGGUUAAAGAUUGUUUACACUAUCACUAGUUUGAGCCUGUGAUUCUAGGUUUACCAUCUUUACUAAAUACCAAAAUGUGUAUAAAGAGAUUUGCCUAGAAUUACCCGAUGAAUGACCUAAUUGUGUACUGUUAGUGCAUAUAACUUAAACACUGUUGACAAAUGUAAAAAUAGUAUUAUGCGAUUUGCAGGAUGGAAUCUGCAACCAAGCAUGCUAUUGUGGUGAAAGUCAUGGGCCGUACUGGGUCCAGAGGACAGGUAACUCAGGUGAGAGUCAAGUUUCUUGAUGACCAGAACAGGUUUAUCAUGAGAAAUGUCAAGGGACCUGUCAGAGAGGGUGAUGUUUUAACAUUGUUAGAGUCUGAGAGAGAGGCUAGAAGGUUGCGUUGAAGGGGCGUGCUUUUGAAUUCCAUAUGGAGCUGGUUUGAGUAUUAUACUGUCCUAGAUUUUGUUAUAGUCUUUUAAUGUUAUGUUUUGUUUUUUGCAAGACUUGGUUAAUUGUGGACGAGAAUUUUAGUGCCAAGCUCAGUUGUUUUGGUGAUGUUUGUAAUCCAUGAUGGUUGAGUAAUUUUGGUUGUAUUGCAAGUUUUGGUAAUAUUUUAUGAUCGUUCGUAGCUGGCUUUUGCUCUCUAUAUCUUUACUUGGUUUAACUUGUCAGCAUGCUUGUCGGAUAACCCUCUAUUGUUGCUAAGACGAUUUUGCAUUUCUUAAUCUCUAUUUUGAUCUCCUUUGUUUUAUUAGGGUUGAAGUUCUUAAGCAUUCGCUGGUGUAACUUUAUACUAGAAAGCCAGAGAAAUGAAGAUUGGAAGUACUGUCUAGGAAAUGAAAUGAUAAGAAUGGGAGAGGGAAGUCUCGAUUUGUAAUGAAAAGACCAAGUAUAUGAUCCUUUUUUCUAGGGAAGGGGGGUGGUUGCUUUUUGCACUGGACAAUAUUUUCCAAUAUUAGCAGAGAAAUAUAUGGAAAGCAUUUGUUUAUGUGUUUGCUCUAGUUGGGAGGUCCAAGACUGGUGUGUUCUAUGGGGGACCUUUUGUUUUCUUGAUUGCAUUUAUAGGAAGUGUCAUGUUCAUCCAAUUUGUUUUUCUUAUUGAUCUUUAAAGUUGUGCCUAAGAACCCUUGUUUGGCCCUUUUUUGCUUGUUUAACUUGAUUAAUUCCUCUUGUAAUCCAUAAACUCCUUUGGAACAUUAACAAAAAUGGCUGAUGUGAGUUGCUGGUGCAUCUUCACAGCCUCUUGCUCCAAAUUUCUACUGUAUAUAUAUCUGGUUUCUUGUCUUUGCCCUUAGAAGUCAGCAUUUUGAUGGCAUAGCCUUUUAUGUUGGAUUUUUAAAAUUUUAAGCAGUAGAUAAUAUGCUUUGUUCAUUCGUUAUU